GGAGCCCCAGCCUGGUGCUGGUUUGGAGGAUUCAGUUCUUGCGUCACUCUCCAAGGCCCCACGAAAGAUCCUAGGCUGGUGACUAUCUGGAUACUUAAGCAUUGAGUCCCGAAGCGUCUGUCCUUCCUGCCGUCUCUCACCAGGUGUCUCUGACUCAGGACCUGGAAGUUCUGCAGAAAGGUGGCAGGUGGAUGCUGGGGACUUGGACUCUUUUAAAUCUCCUUGAAAUCAUCAGUUUUCUCACACUUCCCAACCCCCAACUACUCUCUGCAGGUUCCUUUUUUCACCCACCGACCCAGCAGAAACCACAGGUUCUCCCCCGGGACAUCCACACACCAGGAGGGCGGGAAGGCAAGGUCCAGGCCCCCAUCUCGCUGAAGAUGUUAUUGAAAUCCCGUACUAGGUCAUCAAAGCCGAAGUUAUCGUGGAAACGCAUCCCUCCUCCUGGGCUGAAGCUGAAGCCGAAGCCAAAUUCCUCGGGGGGCUGGGGACCCUCAAAUCUCGAGCUCCCACGGCCCCACGUGGCUCCUUCUUCUUCCUCAUCAUCUUCAUCUUCAUCGCGAGUCAUCCCUCCAAAAAAGGGAUCUCUGUGGCUAGGGGUGGAGGCAGAUCGGCCACCAAGAUUUCAGCACUACUUAAACCACAAAAUCAGCUAAUGGGUGACAAAGUGAGACAAGAGUUGCGAUCUAGGAAGCUGAAGUGAGGGUUAAGAGGACUGGCCAUCGGGUUUGUUUUGUUUUUAUCAAAGUCAGCCCUCACCUCGCGGCUCCCCCAAACGCUUCCGCUCGGCUUUUCUUCACUGUUCCCCAGCCCCUCCCUUCUCUCCCAAGGUCCUGCUCACUUGCUCACUGUUCUCUUCCCCAAAGCCCUAUUGUCUUCCCCACCCGCGCCCCUGUUGCAUCACCCCAGACUGGAGAAAGGUUUAAGCGGCUGUUUCCUCUCCUCUUAACGACUGCCCUGGUUACUGUCGCGGGGUGAGCGCUCAAUAUUGACUUCCGUUCUCUCCGCACGAAUUGAAAGAGUAGGGAAAGGGAUGUUUUUCCAAAAAUAGGGUGUCAGGGGUCAAGCUCACCUCAGAGGAUCCCGCCCCACCUUCUCUGGCCCGGACCCGCUCUCACCUCCGAGGUCCAGAAAAGCCGAAAAAGCCCCGAAAGAGGUCAAAGAGGCUCAUUCCCGCAGUGGGACUCGAACUUUCGAACCCCACAGCUGGGGGUAGCCAGAGCUACGCUGACGGAAAUUGAGCGAAGCGUCAGACCACGCUACCGGAAAGCAAGCCUGCGAUCGGACACUGUCGUAAAACGACCGGUGUUUCGAGGGUUUGACACUGGAUGGCACCGGAGGCAGCCGCCAGAGGGCAGCCCACCCGCACAAAUGAACCGGACCGAGACCCACCCUCACCGCCGGCUCACCAACCCAUGGACGACCAGUCUUCCUUCUAAACCCACCUCGCCCCUUUCCUCCGUCCAGUUUGUUUCUUGACUGAUACAAAUAAAGUCUAAUAUUAAUUAGA